rnacentral:lncRNA from 1 species
ACUUUUUCAACCCUGAAGGCGCGCGUGUGCGUGGGAAGCCGUUUUAACCCGAGUGGUGAAUCUUUCCCUGCUUCCAGUUAAGCCCCCCCCCCCCCCCCAGCUUUGAAGAAGAAACACUGGAGCUAGUGAAUUCGGGACAGGCGGGGUAGCGGGCGCCGCUCUUGCGGGGGCUUUUCGACUGUUGCCUGGGCAUUUUAUCGGACCGCUGGGAAACCCCGCGGCUGGGCCCGAUCCGAUCCCGCCCGCUCUCCUUUGUUGGGCGCGUCUCUUUCCGGAGGCCUUGACCCUGCUCCCGCGUGUUUGGCCUCUACCCGAUGUGGGAGGCCGUGACAGGGAAGCGGAUGGCGCUGCCCUCAGUUCAUAGAUGCGUCCAAUGUGCAGAUUCAAACAGAAUUUCACUUAUACCAUAAAGGUGAUGGGGUUCAUCACAAGGAACAUGAUGUAGUAAAGGAAUAUGCCAGAGUAUUACAGAUGUAUAAUGAACUGAAGAAAAGGUACAAUAAAGAAGUCAAAACAAAUCAAAGACAAAAUGAAACAGUUGCAAUGCUGUCUGGUAAAAUUAAUGACUUGGAACACCAACUUCAUUUAGCAAACCAAAAGAUAAAUGCCUUGGAAUAUAAAAAAAAGGACAAAUUUGCUUCAAUUCAACGAAGACUGUCAUCUGACAAAUGUAUGUGCAAAAAGAAAGGAAGCUGUUCCUGCAAAUAUUUAGACCAGCUGCUUUUUGAGACACAGAGACUGAAGAUGGAAAAUGAAACGCUCUCCAAAGAAAGAAGAAUGUUAAAAAAUGAGCUUGCUGCAUUAGAUAAGGAUUUCUUUGAUGAAAUAGAAGAUUUAAAAUAUGCUCUACAAGAAGCCGUAAAGCUGAAUACCCACUAUGAAAAGUAUUUAAAACAGUUAAGUUCCACUUAUGGAAUCACUCUUACAGUGUUGAGAGCUGGCAAUCCUCGUACAACUUUAUGGAAAUAAUAAUCAAGACUAUUAUUAAAGUAUACUGAGUGUACACAGAAAAAUAAACUCUCAACAGAGUAAUUUCUUAAUUUGUGC